ACGCUGGCGGCGUGCCUAACACAUGCAAGUCAACUUGACUGAAGGAGCAAUCUGACAGUAGAGUGGCGCAAGGGUGCGUAACGCGUAAGUAACUUGCCCCAAGGUAAGGAAUAACGUCGAGAAAUCGGCGCUAAUUACCUCAUAAUGCAGCGGAUCCGCAUGGAUAUGUUGUUAAAGGUUUACCGCCUUGGGAUAGGCUUGCGUCUGAUUAGCUAGUUGGUGUGGUAACGGCACACCAAGGCUACGAUCAGUAACUGGUCUGAGAGGAUGAUCAGUCACACUGGAACUGAGACACGGUCCAGACUCCUACGGGAGGCAGCAGUGAGGAAUAUUGGGCAAUGCUCGAAAGAGUGACCCAGCAACGCCGCGUGGAGGAUGAAGGUAUUCUAUAUCGUAAACUCCUGUGAGAGCAGACGAAAGACAGAUUAUUAAUCUGGAUGACUGUAUGCUCAGAGGAAGCCCCGGCUAACUACGUG
rnacentral:rRNA from 1 species